rnacentral:tRNA from 1 species
UGGGGUGUAGCUCUAUGGUAGAGCACUUGCCUGGCAUGCAUGAGGCCCUGGGUUCCAUCCUCAACACUACAA